AUUGAACGCUGGCGGCAUGCCUUACACAUGCAAGUCGAACGGUAACAGGUCUUCGGAUGCUGACGAGUGGCGAACGGGUGAGUAAUACAUCGGAACGUGCCCGAUCGCGGGGGAUAACGAAGCGAAAGCUUUGCUAAUACCGCAUACGAUCUACGGAUGAAAGCAGGGGACCGCAAGGCCUUGCGCGAACGGAGCGGCCGAUGGCAGAUUAGGUAGUUGGUGGGAUAAAAGCUUACCAAGCCGACGAUCUGUAGCUGGUCUGAGAGGACGACCAGCCACACUGGGACUGAGACACGGCCCAGACUCCUACGGGAGGCAGCAGUGGGGAAUUUUGGACAAUGGGCGAAAGCCUCAUCCAGCCAUGCCGCGUGCAGGAUGAAGGCCUUCGGGUUGUAAACUGCUUUUGUACGGAACGAAAAGACUCUGGUUAAUACCUGGGGUCCAUGACGGUACCGUAAGAAUAAGCACCGGCUAACUACGUGCCAGCAGCCGCCGCGGUAA
rnacentral:rRNA from 1 species